GAUUUAUCCAUUUUUGUUUUAUUAUUUCUGACGUUUAUAUAGAAAAUUUUGUGUGAGAAUCAGUAAUGAGCCAUCUGAAAAAUGCUAAUAAAUUAAUAGAAAAUCUGGUGAAUUCGCAGUUAUAACAAAAAUUUUGCAUUUUGGUCUUACAAUUAUUUAUCUAAACAAAGAGCACAACCAUAAAUUAGCAACCACGAAUGCGGUGAAAAACUACAAUAAAUAUUAACAAGUUGCUUCGCCAUCGCUGUUGUUAAAGUGUUGUCACAAUUAGAGUAUAGCUGACGCCAACGUUAUUGGACAAAUGCCUUACAUUAUCAUACGCGGCAAUUUAGCGUCAUACAGCCAUAAAUAUCCCUGGCGUGUCUUGGUUUCCGGGCUAAAAGCGGAUGAAAUUGAACAGUUGAAUAAAUUUUCAUGUGGCGGUUACAGUGAUGAGACAACAAUAGUUUAUUUAGUGCAUCCAUGUCGAAUCUUAUCAGCGCUUGAGAUUUUAGGUUUUCGUGUGGUCGCUUCCUCCUCAACAUCCGUUAAGCAGGACUACAACGAGUAUAUGUGGACUAUGCGAAAAGAGUUCCACGAACCAGAGCCACUAGAAACAGAAUCCGUUGUGCGCGAGAAUCUUUCGAAUAUAGGACGCGAAGCAGCUGGUUUGGGCAGCUAUCACAAAGUUGACUCGCCUGAAUAAGAAAUUAAAUAAAGAGUUAAAAAAAAACAACUAUUUUCCAAAACCCAAAAAAUAAGUGUUGAAUUUCUCAAUCAUUUAGCUAAAAGCGAAAUUAAGUACGCAAAUUGGUUCAACUCAUAAACAUUGAAAAACACACAUUAGAAAUAUACAUACAUAUAACCGAACAAAAUUCAAAAGAACUUCAAAAGUAAAAUUAUAAACAUUUAGUAAAAAUGGAUCAACAUGACGCGGAUCACUGCAAGUGUCACAAGCAGGCGGCGCCAGCACAACAAACGCUAACUGAUAUGGAAUUUGAUCGUGGAAUUUGGAAUGCAGCCAUCUACAAUGAGCCGGAGCGCGUGCGCAGUUUUAUUGGCCGCGGCAAAUCCAUGGACCGCGAUGAUUUUGAUUACACUGCGCUUCAUUAUGCAGCACGCAAUGGCAACGUAGAAAUAUGCAAAAUGUUAAUCGAAGAUGGCAAAGCUGAUGUGGAUGCCAUUACCAAGGCGGGCGCUACAGCCUUGCAUCGCGCUGCCAUGAUGGGUCAUCUAAAUGUUGUGAAAUUACUGGUUGGAGCCAAAGCUAAUCUCCAGUUGCAGGAUGAAUACGGACAGACUGCGCUUCAUCGAGCUGCUAUACGUGGACACUUGGAUGUUUGUAAAUUUUUGUUGGAACAUGAUCCGAAAUUGAAGAAAAUCAAGGAUAAGAAAGAAAAAAUCCCCUAUGAAUAUAUAAUGGAGAAUGCCAACGAUGAUUUCAAAAUAUUGCUUAAGUCUUAGAGUCAAAGUGAAAGAACAUACAAAGUAUCUAAAGCAAACAUAAAUUACGACAGAAGCAUAAUUAGUUGAAAAAAGUAUCAAUCAAACACCCAAAAGCAAAAUCUUAGCUGCAUUUUUACACAGGCAUACUCGUACAUUGAUUUCGAUAUGUAUUCACAAAUGUGUGGAGCAUUUUGAUGAACAUAUAUACAUAUAUGUAUAUGUGUAUUUAAUCUGUAAUGUAGUAUUUUAUUAGUUUACAAUAUAAGAAAACUGCAUUUUAUUUAGGAAUUCAAAUACAUUUGUUUUGAAAACAUGUUUGGAAUAAAA